UGGCCUUGCCAAAAAGAAGAAGAGAGAGAGAUUGCUCUUUCGUGUACAUGCAUGGAGGGGAGGUCAUAUGAGGACACAGGCACAAGGCAGCUGGCUGCAAGGCAGGAAGGGAGAUCUCACCAGAAACCGAAAGGGCUGACACAAAGAUCUUGACUUCCUGGCUUCCAGAACAGAACUUUCUGUUGUUUAAGCUACCCAGUCCCUGGUAUUUUGUUAUGGUGGCCUGAGGAGAUGACAGAAACUUUUGUUGUCAUUGUUGUUCUGAUUUUAGUAUUGGGUCUAGUUCUAGUAACGUUCUGAGGGUUCACCAAUUCCUACCUUGAGGUUCUAGGAGACAGUGCAAUGUCAUCAUCAUAAAUUUCCUACUAUUUGCUUAAGUAGGUUUCUGUAAUUGAUAGCCAAAGUCUGGCUGAUAUUGAAUGUUAGUGUAGACAAAAGUCAUUUGUAGUUCAUGGCUGGGAUGAAAGUUUCAUGGAGGAGAUAGGAUUUAAGCUGGAACUUAAAAAUGGCUAGACUUUGAAAAGGUGGAAAGAGAGAAUGCUCUGAUAACUGAGACUACGGCAUAGAGUUGGGUGUGCUGUGCGUGUCACAACAGUACACAUUCAGGCUCAAGUGUAAUAAUCCACAUGUGAAACUGGAUUAUUCUGUAUUAGGUUUUCAUAGUUUCAGAAAACCGUUUGCUGAUGUGUCUUAAACAUAUUAAAGAUACAAAUUUCAAAUUUAAAUAUCUGGCUGAUUUAAUAAAUCUAAAGCAUUGUUAAAUAGAAAAGGUAAAAAAAAAUAUUUUUCUCCCUUUUCUUAUGUUCAGUGAGGAUGCAACUCCUAUGAAUUCCCUCAGUGUUAUCCAUAAUUAUCAUUGCAUAGAAUCAGUUUUUAAAAGUUCAAAUUCUCUCAGAUAUUACAGCAAAUUUGUUGCCUCUUCUAGGUCUUUGUUAAACAGAUGAUUCUAUGCCUUCUACUGAUAAAAGCUUCUUUAAAUGUAAUAUUAAAAUAGACAUAUAAUUGCCUAUCUGUCCUUUAGCACCACUUCAUUUACAAUUCUGAGUGAACUGUCCUGUAAAAAUCAAAAAGGUAUCUAAAGUCUUGCUCCCUCAAGCAAACUCUUGUUUAUAGGAGAUCUCCAGGGUAAAUUUCAUCACUGUCUCCUUUUGAAACUUUAAUCAACCCAUUCUAAAACAAAAUUAUUAGGUAUAUUUCCCUAAAUAGCUUAUAAAGCUAAAGACCAAGAAAGACAUUGCCUGAAAACUAUUACUUAAAUGCUUCAAUUUAAAUAUGCACCAAGACAUAUUUUGACCCCAAAUAAUUUUUUUAAUUGAGAAAGCAUGUGCCAAUAAUUCAUUUUUUAAGUGUCACUUAAAACGACCCAGAGGA
rnacentral:lncRNA from 1 species